GAUGAACGCUGGCGGCGUGCCUAAUACAUGCAAGUCGAGCGAACAGAUGAGAAGCUUGCUUCUCUGAUGUUAGCGGCGGACGGGUGAGUAACACGUGGGUAACCCACCUAUAGGACUGGGAUAACUCCGGGAAACCGGGGCUAAUACCGGAUAAUAUUUUGAACCGCAUGGUUCAAUAGUGAAAGACGGUUUCGGCUGUCACUUAUAGAUGGACCCGCGCCGUAUUAGCUAGUUGGUAAGGUAACGGCUUACCAAGGCGACGAUACGUAGCCGACCUGAGAGGGCGAUCGGCCACACUGGAACUGAGACACGGUCCAGACUCCUACGGGAGGCAGCAGUAGGGAAUCUUCCGCAAUGGGCGAAAGCCUGACGGAGCAACGCCGCGUGAGUGAUGAAGGUCUUCGGAUCGUAAAACUCUGUUGUUAGGGAAGAACAAAUUUGUUAGUAACUGAACAAGUCUUGACGGUACCUAACCAGAAAGCCACGGCUAACUACGUGCCAGCCGCCGCGGUAA
rnacentral:rRNA from 1 species